rnacentral:tRNA from 1 species
GCCCCGAUAGCUCAGUUGGUAGAGCAGCUGCCUCGUAAGCAGCAGGUCGGGGGUUCGAAUCCCCCUCGGGGCU